rnacentral:rRNA from 1 species
CGGCCGCGGUAUCCUGACCGUGCAAAGGUAGCAUAAUCAUUUGCCUUUUAAUUGGAGGCUAGUAUGAAUGGGUAGACGUAGAUUUAGCUGUUUCUUUACUAUAAAUAAAACUUAAACUUUAGGUGAAGAUGCCUAAUUUUUAUAGAAAGACAAGAAGACCCUAUAGAGUUUUAGUUAAAUAUAUCCCUCUAUAAUAUUAUAACUUUGGUUGGGGCGACCUAGGAUUUUAUUAAACAUCCUAUUUAUUAUAAGAUAAAUUUAAUCUCAUUUAUAGACCCUAAAACGGAUUAUCAGAAUGAACUACCUUAGGGAUAACAGGCUUAUCUUCCUAGAGAGCUCUUAUUGAUAGGAUGGUUUGGCACCUCGAUGUUGGCUUAGA